CGCCGGCCGGAAGGACCUUGUUCCUGUCGAGGGCCGGACAGAAAAGCGUCCUACGUGAAAGUUCGUUUGUAGCUGGUGGUUGACAUGCAGUGAAGGAACAUGGUUGUGAGUGAGCUUAUCAGCCGUUCUUGUCUGCUGUUGGCCUGAGGAAACGCCACUGCUGUACAUUGUACUGACUUCAUCGAACAUAUAGUUUUGAUUAUCACCGAACGGCCUGCAGCAAAAAGGUAUCCUGUUCCAGUCCACCUCCAACAUCACUUUGAAGAGGAAGUAGACAAGUUACUAGACCUAGGAAUCAUUCAGUUCUCCUCGUCCCAAGUACAGCUCACCUGUGCUGAUAAAGAAACAAGAUGAAACGUAUUGGAUGGCCAUAGACUAUAGGUCACUGAAUUCUAUAAAAAAUUUCCAUGCUGCUGGUUCUAUUCAAGAAUAACUUCAUGAAUUUACUGGGACUCAAUAUUUCUUAGAGCUAGACCUUACUAAAGUAUAUUAUCCAAAUCCCACUUGAGCAAAGAUGCCAUGCCUCUAACUGCAUUUUCGACCCACAGGGGCCUGAUGAAAUUCACCAGAUUACCAUUUGGAUAAGUUACUGCUUGUGCUACUUACAUAAGCCUCAUGAGACUUGUAUUGGCUGGCUUUGAGGAUGUCGCUUUCUAUUUUUAUAAUAUAUUCAUCUACAGCAGAACGUGGGAUCAACAUCUAGCUGCUAUCAAUAGUCAUCCAACGAUUGGCCAAGAAUAAUUUGACUGUAAAACCAUCCAAGUGCAGGUUUGGUUUCUCCUUCAUAAAUUACUUGGUGUUCUGUCAACGGUGAGUACCUGAAACCCUACUAUAACAAGACCACAGCAGAACGUGGGAUAAACAUCUAGCUGCUAUCAAUAGUCAUCCAACGAUUGGCCAAGAAUAAUUUGACUGUAAAACCAUCCAAGUGCAGGUUUGGUUUCUCCUUCAUAAAUUACUUGGUGUUCUGUCAACGGUGAGUACCUGAAACCCUACUAUAGCAAGACCAAAGCCUUGCUUGAAGUGCCUGUUCCCAAAUAAAGUCAUUACGUUCCUUCUUA